rnacentral:pre_miRNA from 1 species
AGUGGAAUUGCUGGGUGGUAAAGUAAAUGAAUGUUUAACUGUUUAAGAAACUGUCAAAUUGUUUUCUAAAGUGGCUGUACUAUUUUGCAUCCCCUUCAGCAAU